AUUUUGUAUGUACGUUUGGUGAAUUUACGCAUUUCGAUAACGAACGAUGCGACCACGGCCUUUGGAAAACAAGACCAACAUAAAACGAGAUUCUCGCUUAACUCGUAACGUACCAGUUCAAAUAUGGCGAACGUGCUGGCUGACCCCCAUUCCGAUAUAUCGUAUAUAAAUCUUGAUGGAAACGAACCGUGUCUUUCAUGAAAAUUCACGAAAUGUCCUCGGCUGGACUUUUUUUACGAAUGUCCCGUUUCACUCAUAAAUUUACAAGGAUACACGUGCUUUGUCUUGAAAUUCAAUGAUUGGCUUGUAAAUUUCCGGAAAAACAAAAUGAACACACGUGACGAGGUUAUGCAGUGAAAAAGUGGCCCGACUGUGAAAUCUAGUUUGGAAUUUCAUUUGAAUGAUAAAAGGAAGUUAGAAGGCUUAGAAUGUAAAUGGGGAUUAAUACAUCACGUAUAAACCAAUGGCGAAUACAGGAUAUCAGUGUAUCCCGUUCUCUGUCGAACGAAGGUGCCUGGGACGAUUGAUGAUUCAAUAUGCCUGCAAGUUGCUUCAGAUAAAUGGAUCAGGAGAUGACUAAGGGAGAGCAAGAAUUAUUUACGAAGAGGCUCCUGAAGAGAGUGAAAUUUUCAACGAAUUGGAAAAGAACACCCUGAACAUCUAUCAUCCACGAGAAGGAGAGGAAGACGUAAGACGCAAAGCAUGAAAUCAGAGAAAUGAUACUUCCAGUGGAUAAGAAGUUAUGACAUAUAUACUGAACGACAUUUAAAGCAAGUGAACCGAUUCCGCGAGAAAUUCUGUAUUUGAAACCCAUACGUAAAUGUUAUCAAGGCCGUGUUCUAUGCGUUUAUAUUUGCAAAGUUUGCCGUUUCGAGGAAUUAACCAUGUAAUUUUUGGGAAAUGAUAAAUUUACUGAGAUGAUAACUCCAGGAAACUGGUUUGCGAAUAAUACCACGAAUACGUAAAAUUUCAGAGGAGAAUAACAUUAGCAAGUCGCGAGAAUUUCUAGAAAGAUGAGCAUGAAGAUAGGGAUGACACGUUCCGAGGGAGAGUUAUAAGUGAUAUAAAUGACACAA